GGCGCUGUGGCGCAGUGGGUUAACGCCCUGGCCUGAAGCGUCAGCAUCCCUCAGGGACGCCGGUUCGAGUCCUGGCUGCUCCA
rnacentral:tRNA from 1 species